UUUUUUUUUUUUUUUUUUUUUUUUUUUUUUUUUUUUGAGCAACCUGCUUGUCUGUUUCAGUGAAGAAGGGGCUGGUGUGCUCUUCAGCCUGGCUACGGAGAAGAGAAGCGAAGGAACACCUCAGAAAUACUGAUUUCUUGGGAUCCAUCCAUUUUCCUCUGUAUUCAAUACCCUUCAGAAGUUCAGUCUCCUGUUCUGUUUUAAGGUGCAUACUAACAACAUACGGACAGAACAGAAGAAGGGAAGGCACGAGCAGGUGUCGUCUGGGACACCUUCUUUUCAAAGGACAGAUGGGGGAAAACCCUAGAUAUUAGAAGUUAGCUCCUUGCUUCUCUGUGUGGGACUUGAGCAGCUCUUCUCCCUAAUUUUCCUUCAAUUUCCAUGUGCAUUAUCCUUUUCCCAUACAGUUAGUUCAGAGCAGAGUGAAUUGGAGUGGUUAGACACUGAAAGGGCCUUGCAGAGAACCAAGGGGAAGCUGCUGGUGCAGCUGCUGGUCCAGCUGCUGCUCCUGGAAGCAAUGGGCCAGGAGUUGAGCCACCCAGAGCCUCCAGCUGCAGGGAAGCUGGCUGCUGCCUCCCUGCUUUCCUGCCACAUCCCUCCCUGCCCAUCAGCCACAGGAUUCAUAUAACUUAGACAAUGCUGAGUGGGACCUGACUCCAGAUAGCACAGAGGGGGCUCCACGGCAAGGGACUGCUGACAGUGCACACCUCCAGAGGACCUUGCUGUCCACCCCUGCCUAUCUGCACAGUGGCAAGACCCUGGAAAAGUCACAGCACCAGGCUUAUAGGACACAUACAUAGGACACCGGGCUCAUAGGACAGCUUUCCUCCUCUCCUCCCCAAGGCCCCAAGUCAGACCCAGCUCCUGGAGCAGGAGCACUGCUUCCCUCAGCUUCCAGAAGUAGCAUGCAUGAAGUCAGACACAUCACAUGUGUAUCUCCAUAGCAACGAGAUCAGACCCAGAGUGGAAAAUGAGGGACAAUGGAAAAACUAUAGGAGAGGGCUCUGCAGAUAAGGGAUAGCUGCUUCUGCCUUGGCUGGUACCAAGCAGCAUAAACCAAGAGGAACGGGUGGGAGAGAUGUCCACCUCUGCCACUGUUGGGCAGAUAGAGGCAUGUAUAUUGAGCUUCUGCCUGCCAGACAUUUGAGUUUUGUUAUUUAAUUGCAAAAGUACAUUGGUCCGAGAGCCCAAGUCACAGCUACACUGAAGUCUUAAUCUUUACACUGGCAUUUAAACCUUUGUCCCUGGCUGCAACAGAGUCUGAGAUCAACCCCUCUUGGACCCUCCUCUACCCCAUUCCCAUUGUUCAGAAUGUGGCAAGAAAUUCCUGCUGUGCCUGAGAAGUAGCCUCUAUUGUCUUCUCCUCAAGUGUCCCACAAAGUGGAUAGGUAGCAAAAACCAUUAGAAAGACAAAAUACUGACACUUUGAGGAAAACCUUUUUUCAGGUGCAUGAGUACUAUUGGGACGCGAUCACAUAUCUUGAUCUAAUAGUAUACGUGGCUCUGAUUUUCAUGCUGAUUAAGAAAUUGCUACCAGUUGUCACUAAGGGGAAGGAGGUUCUUUAAAAGACAGCAGAAAGUUUUGGCAUUGAGGGGAGAUCAAGUCUGAUCUAGCCCCUCCAGGUGAAUGUAAAUUAGUUUUUAUGCAUCUUUCAUUACCUCAUUUAGUGAAGGAAAAUUAUACCACAAUAAAGUGCUGUGGCCAUCCCGCCUUCUUCGCUGCCACCCUCACAGAUGGGACCAUCUGUAUAGUUUGCACCCUGGAAGAACCAUGUCUUAGCAGGUGAUGUCUUUCUCCGUGGUCUGGCUUUGGAAUUCAGCAUUUCAGCCUCUGUCAGCAACAUCUAGACUCCAUCCCUCCUUGGCUGUGCUCAUGCCACUGCUUCUUGCAGUGAGGCAAUCAGAGUAUAAGGUUUUUUUUCAGAUUCCCUGCUUAACCUCAGGCAGACCUGUGUAGCUUUAAGUAGCAUAUUACAGUAAUGAGGGGCCAUGAUUAUUUCUAAGAAUAUGCCCUCCUUCCCAUUAGUAGCCCCCUAUGAUAAGCAGCUCUGUCUUUUUUGCUGCCACCAGUCACUAGCAGGCCAUUGGGGCUGCAAAGGAGGACAGAGCAACCUGUCAUAAAGAAAAAGUGAGAGGAGAACAUAAACUGGGAGAGAGGGUGGGGGAAGGAAUAAGCACUGACAGUCAAAAUGCAAAAAAGAUUAAAUGCAAUUUUUCUCCAAAUGCCUGGAGACAAGACAGAUCUCCCAGCUUCCUUCCCCUCCCUUGCCCUCCUGCCUGAAAAGAGAAGAGGUAGUUAACAUAGGAAAGCCCCUCAAAUAAGCCCUGACAGCCACAUAUUCAGAAACUGAUGGCAUUUCCCUAAACACUGUUUGUAAAAUGGUAAUUAUCCAGCAGGCAGUGACAGCUGGCACUUAGCACUGAGAGAGAACAUGAGCGGACAAGAAGAAAAGGAUCCUGCCGUAACUGAACAAAGGGUAAAGAGAUAUAUAAAACAUAAUCAGAAAAAUACAAAAAUUGCUGGCUGUGCUAAUAGGUCACCUCAGCUUUUUGGUUCAUCUUGAUAUGAUUGAGUUUGAAUGUAGGUUCAGACUGACAUCCUUCAAAUCAUUCCACUGGCAACAGCACCUCUGAGGAGUGCAGCAGCAGCAGCAAACCCAAAGGGCUGAGCAGCUGGCAGUGAGUGUAGGGAUGCAAAAAGGGUGGCCAGCUUUAUCACCAAGUGUCUGGAGCACCUGUUUCCCAACUUGUGUCACAAGAUCAGCUGUUGGGAAUGAAAGCUUCUGGUAAACAUUUCCUCCCCACUUCAGACCAGCUCAGCUAUGCCACAACAUGGCAAAAUAGAAUCCUUCACUGGAAGCAUCUAGACUGGACAAAACACCAGACAAUAUGCUUGAGUUGGACAUAGAAUUGUCUAGGCAGAUCUUCUACUCCUUUGCUGUUAAACAAAAAAUCCACUUCUGGAUCCACUUUUUAGGGCAAUGGAGGAGCCUGUCAGUUCAGAUAUCAGGUUUGACACAUCUCCUCUAUUGCCUUGGGUAGGACUCUCCUUUCUCUACCUUGUUUCUUUGCUUAGAAAAUGGAUUGUGUGUUGUUGUUGCUAUGCCAUAUGUUCAAACUAAGGCCCUUUUCCAAUUACAUCCUACCCGAAAUUUAGGAGGGCAGGGUCUUGGACUGCACUUGAGCCCUUAAACAUGAUCAGUAUUACACAUGAAGAUACCUUCCCUCAUAUGACAGUCACACUCUCACAACAGUCACAGAGAAUAACUGAAGAAGAAUGAAAAUAAACUCAUUAAUGAGUAGGGUGGUAUCUUUGAGCUUGGGGGUUUCCAAAUUCACAAUCUGAGGCCAUUUUAUUUGCUUUCUCAUUACCUUAAUUAGGAUAUUACCUCCCUCCAGCCUAAAGCUGAGGAUGCUCUGACCCCUCCAGAAGGCUUCAUGACUUACUUUGGCCCAGAUCCUUCCUGGAAAGGUUACUGCCUGGGUCCAGCAGCAUGUACCUUCGAUCACAACCUGUUAUAGGCCUCUGAGUCACUGAGUGAGCAAUGGGCUAGAAGUCCUAAAAAUUAUGAGUGUGGUCAGACAAGGACACUUGAUAGAGUACUGGAAUACAGGAAGGAGUUCUUCCUCUUUCCUUUUACCAGGAAUCAUGGCACAUAGAUAGUCCAUGCCUGGGAUAACACAGAAAUGGCACCUAAAUUUCUUGUCGUCCCUUGCCAUUCUUCUUUCCUGUUGCUCAUUACCAAAAGACACUACCCCUGAGAAAGAUAUAAUUGUCCUAAUUGACACAUACAGUUUUAAGAACUGAAGGCAAAAGCUUCUGAAUUUCUUCUAAGCCACCAUCCUCCUCUACCCUGCCUCAAUUAUGUUUUAUUAGGUGUUGCUAUUACUCGGUCCAUCACAGCAAAUGACCUCUAAGUUUCUCUUUAUGCCAUAUUCUCCUUGGUGCCAGGUUUGGAUGUUAAUAAUCUUCUCAGCACACAUGCACAUUUAAAAUAAGAUAGAUUUUCUCUGCUGCAGACAGAUACACCUCUUCACAGUAAUUCAUUAUGCUACUAUCUCCAAAGCUGUUUCUUUGAGAAAUAUGCGUAGAGACGUGUAUUAACAGUGUAGAGUUUUCAUGAUUAUAACUGAUGAUUUGUUUGACUAGGUCUCUUAUGUAUCAAUCUAACUAUUUUGUAGUUUGCCUGUGAUUUAUUUUUGACUGUCUUAAUAAAGUUCCAAUAUUACUUUCAGUAAUCAAUCUGCUUUCUCUAAACUACUGUUAAAUUCUUUUUUGAAUUGAGUGAGAGUUUGAGUAAAGAAUUUAUCCCAUGAAACUACUGAUCUGAAAGUUAUCAAUAUAUUUCUAAAUGUCCAAGUACAAGUAAAUUGAAAACUGAGAUUUUUACCAUCAGUUGAGAUUUAAAUAUAUGCAUGUUUUCAAGUACAAAGUAAUUACUUUAAGCAGUAAUAGAGCAUUUCUCAUAAGAUAUAUUAAAGAAAUACCAACAAUGAAAUUACUAAUGUUGCAAUUUAAUUAUAAACCCUUCUAUAUGCCAGCACAUCUUCACUAUUACUUUUGCUGCCAGUCUUGAUGUGUAGCAUGCUGUUUAAUGCAAUUUACUAUGCAUUUUUU
ensembl:lncRNA